rnacentral:lncRNA from 1 species
CUCCUGCCUCAGCCUCCCGAGUAGGUGGGACUACAAGCACCCGCCACCAUGCCUGGCUAAUUUUUUGUAUUUUUAGUAGAGACAGGGCUUCACCGUGUUAACCGGGAUAGUCUCGAUCUCCUGACCCCGUGAUCUGCCCGCCUCAGCCUCCCAAAGUGCUGGGAUUACAGGCGUGAGCCACCACGCCGGGCCCCAGGAUUCUCCAGUAACUUCUAAAGCAUCACUGAAAAUUUCUAAAUUUUGCAAGAGGCCAGGAAGGUUUCAAUUUCCAGACGUGCCCUAGGCCAUAAUUAACUUCCUGAUGAAAGACUUCUCCUAACACAGUGUAAAGUUCACCAGUCAAGAACUACGGAAAACCGACAUAGAUUGAGAGCUUCCUUUGCAGUCAUGUGGCCAAGAUGCAGCCAUGUGACCAAGGCUCGGCCAGCGAGAUGGACCCACUCUGGACUUUGAACCAGGAGUCAGCAAUGCACAGAUGAGGCCCAACAGAGAAUUCCCCAUGAUGAUGGGGACACCGCUCAGUUGCCACCAAUGCCUUCUUCAGACUAGUUCACAGGUCAUACUAUGCAAAGCCAGGUUUUCCUGUCUUCCCUGUAAUUCCCCCAACUACCCAAUGGACUAUGGAUAAAUUCCUUCUUUGCUUAAAUCAGGCAAUGUUGGUUUCUGUGGCUCAUAACCUAGAAUCAGGACUGAUAUAACUGGUCUAACUGCUGUAGGGGCCAGCAGAUUAGUUCAUGUUUUCUAAGUCAGGUGUGGGGCUGGUGCUGGGAUAAUCUUCUCUGUCCUUUUAACCCGAUGGACUCUAAAAGUGGAACACACAAGAGACAUUGGCUGCGGUCACUGAGUGAAGGCCCUGGGCUGAGGCUGAACGGUAUGAGAGUGCAGGAGAUCUUCAUGGACUUUAAUAUCCUUGGUCUUUACCUUAUAAGAGAAAGGAAAUUUGAUUUGGGGGGCAUACCUCCUUGGGAAUGUAUUUAAUAACAUACUAUUAAGAAGGGGAAAAAUGCUGGCUAAACUUUGACAAAAUGCUCUUUUGUCACUUAAAAUGUUUAUACUUCAUUAACAACCUAUUUCAGACUUACUUGGACAUAGAUUUGUAUCAUAGGUUGCUCUUGUGCAUGCAUAAAAAGGAAAAUAGAAGCAAAAUAACGUAAAGUACUCUUAGAAGCUCUUUAUAUUAGGAAUCCAAAUAUUCUGAAUCAUCUUUGCUUUCAAAGUUGAACAAGUUUUUUUUGUUUGUUUUUAUUUUUAGACAGAGUUUCACUGUUGUCGCCCAGGCUACAGUGUAAUGGCGCAAUCUCAGCUCACUGCAACCUCCACCUCCUGGGUUCAAGCGAUUCUCCUGCCUUGGCCUCUCUAGUAGCUGAGAUUACAGAAGCCUGCCACCACACCUGGCUAAUUUUUGUAUUUUUAGUAGAGACGGGGUUUCACCAUGUUGGUCAGGCUGGUCUCGAACUCCUGACCUCAGGUGAUCCACAUGCCUCGGCCUCCCAAAGUGCUGGGAUUACAGGCAUGAGCCACCACGCCCAGCUGAAAGUUGGACAAGUUUUUAUUGAAUGUCUUUUUCCCCCCUAAGACAUAGUUCACACAAGCCAG